AGCCUGGCGACAGAGACAGACUCCAUCUCAAAAACAAACAAGCAAACAAAAACGAACAAAAAUGUCAUUUAAACCUUUUGUUUUGUGAGAGAGGGGCACCAUCAGAAAACAUCUUCAGGUAGGUCUGACCUUUCAAAUGUUAGUCAUCUUACCAUAGUCUCCAUUUAAUGGCAUCUUAAAUGUCAUAUACUAUCUAAUUUCCACUUCAUAUCUGAAAUUUGAGCUCUUGAUCUUAUGUUAUGCAUCUCUUAGCUAGGCCAUUUUUAAUUCUACUCUCCUCCUCAAUAACAUUUAUCAGAAUUACACAAUGAUGAAAAUGUCCUACUAGAUACUUAGUUUUAUUUGCUCUCCUUCUAGCCUAAAUAAUCGUCCCUUUUGCUUAACCUCUCCAACAUUUUUAAUGAUUCUUUUAAUUGAAUUUGGAAUCCUUACUUCAUAUUUUGAAGUUGGGCUACUUUUUAUUGCUGUGAUCCCAGUGGUGUGUGUGUAUUAAAUUGUGUAUUGAUAAUUAUGUCUUUAGUUAUAUCUCAUUUCUUUGGGUUAUUUUCCAGUUUUCUACAUUAAAGAAACAAGCUCAUUGGAAGAGCUUUUGUUAUCCAGCAAAGCAUCUUUUUUCAGAAGGAUAAAGUUAAGAAUUAAUAACCAAUUUAGUUAAUAACCAAAAUUACUUCAAACAUUUGGUAAGAAGAAAGGCCACUGAUAGAAAUGAAAGAUGCAAUCACAUUCCAUCUUGAUGAUCUACAGUUUGAGGACAUUUUUUAGAGAGGUGGCAAAUUCCUGAAUGCUGGGGGGAGAUGCUGUUUCUCCAUGGUGAUGGAAGACAUGUUUUGUCUCUUCAGAUUUAGGCUGCUGCCAGAGACACCGACUGUAGACUAAAGCAGGGAGAAUUAGCUCCAAAGCACUGGGACAGAGGCCAUCUGCUUGUGAAAGCAGCUUCUAAGAAAACAUACCUGUUCCCCUAUCCCUUCCUGCUCCUUCCCACAGGUCACUUGCCUUAAUGGUGUUUGCCAAGAGAGCCAUACCUUUGCCUUUUCUCAUUGCAUUUGUUUAUCUGUUUCAAAUUCUGUAUGCAAGGCCCAUUCUAAUUGAGUCAAUAAAAUAAAAUUCUCUAGGA
rnacentral:lncRNA from 1 species